UACGAAGGGUGCAAGCGUUGUUCGGAUUUAUUGGGCGUAAAGCGCGCGUAGGCGGACCUGCAAGUCAGAUGUGAAAUCUCGGGGCUCAACCUCGAAACUGCGUCUGAAACUACAGGUCUAGAAUCUUGGAGGGGGUAGGGGAAUUUCAGGUGUAGCGGUGAAAUGCGUAGAUAUCUGAAGGAACAUCAGUGGCGAAAGCGACUUCCUGGACCAAUACUGACGCUCAUGUGCGAAAGCGUGGGGAGCAAACAGG
rnacentral:rRNA from 1 species